rnacentral:rRNA from 1 species
CGCCUGCCCUGUGACAAAAGUUUAACGGCCGCGGUAUUUUGACCGUGCAAAGGUAGCGCAAUCACUUGUCUUUUAAAUGAAGACCUGUAUGAAUGGCAUGACGAGGGCUUAACUGUCUCCUUUUUCCAGUCAAUGAAAUUGAUCCUCCCGUGCAGAAGCGGGAAUAUAACCAUAAGACGAGAAGACCCUAUGGAGCUUUAGACGUAAGGCAAAUCUUGUCAAACACUUCAAAAUAAAGAAACGAACCAAAAGAGUUCUGCCCCAUUGUCUUUGGUUGGGGCGACCACGGGGAGACAAACAACCCCCAUGCGGACUGAGAAAACAAUUCUCACAACCAAGAGCUACUGCUCUAAUUAACAGAAAUUCUGACCUCAAGAUCCGGCAAUGCCGAUCAACGGACCGAGUUACCCUAGGGAUAACAGCGCAAUCCCCUUUUAGAGUCCAUAUCGACAAGGGGGUUUACGACCUCGAUGUUGGAUCAGGACAUCCUAAUGGUGCAGCAGCUAUUAAGGGUUCGUUUGUUCAACGAUUAAAGUCCU